CCGAAAAUGGCGCACUCGUUCAAUUGUUGAAAGUCAUGGAGUGUGGGAGGUUAUACUGCGAAUAAAAUAUAUACUAUGCCAUACAGUCCUACAUUCAAGCGUUGCCCUUGUUUGUUGUGGAUCGGUCAGGCGGACUGCCGCGGAUCCUAACCUACAGUCAGGCGUACUGUGUUGAGGUAGGACUGACUUGGCGACUUGCGCUUAUGGCUUUGGCACUUGGCGGUCAUUAGCUAGAGAGUUGCCGGAACGCGCUUGUGCGUGUACAUAGAAGACCCUACCGAGUGAUCUUGGAGUGCAGUCACAGCGGACUGCACUGGAACGCACAUUGUAGUGAUGUAAAUUUGGGUCGAAACAUCGAUGUCGAUCUUCAUCGUUGUUUGCAAAAUGAUACAUCGAUGUUUUGUGAAACAUCGGCUAGAAACAUCGAUGCAUCGAUGUUUUCAACCCAUUCCGUUAUUUUUCGUUAAUUCAAUUUGUAGAAGCCUAUUAAAUUUUUUUACUGAGAUUUUUUAAUAUUUAAAUAAGAAGGAAUUAAGACUACAAAAAUAAAAGCUUUCUUAGUUUUUUCCUUUUUAUUUCUUCAUUGAAGGGUUUUGUUAACAAUUUUAUAAACGAACUUAAAACUAUAUCAAUUCAUGAGCAUUCAGCAGUCUUUUUCAUUACAUUGAGAAUCAAAAAUAAUACAAUAAUAAUAUAAAAAUAAAUGCUUCCUUAGCACUAUUUUUCAUUACAUUCAGAAUCAAAAAUAAUAAUAAAAACAAAAUAAUGUAACAAUAAA